rnacentral:rRNA from 1 species
CCUACGGGAGGCAGCAGUGAGGAAUAUUGGUCAAUGGGCGCGAGCCUGAACCAGCCAAGUAGCGUGAAGGAUGACUGCCCUACGGGUUGUAAACUUCUUUUAUAAAGGAAUAAAGUGAGGCACGUGUGCCCUUUUGUAUGUACUUUAUGAAUAAGGAUCGGCUAACUCCGUGCCAGCAGCCGCGGUAAUACGGAGGAUCCGAGCGUUAUCCGGAUUUAUUGGGGUGAAAGGGAGCGUAGGCGGGUUAUCAAGUCAGCGGUAAAAUCGUGGAGCUCAACUCCAUCCAGCCGUUGAAACUGGUGGUCUUGAGUGGGCGAGAAGUAUGCGGAAUGCGUGGUGUAGCGGUGAAAUGCAUAGAUAUCACGCAGAACUCCGAUUGCGAAGGCAGCAUACCGGCGCCCGACUGACGCUGAAGCACGAAAGCGUGGGUAUCGAACAGGAUUAGAUACCCUUGUAGUC